ACUACUUUGGCAGAAAAGUGCCAUGGAUUUAGAAUCCAUAAAUGUAAGUUAUAUUCUUGCAGGUAGUA
rnacentral:tRNA from 1 species